rnacentral:lncRNA from 1 species
UGGGAAGCGUAGUACAGGAAGAACGGUCGGCCCUGGCGCUGGGCAUCAGCCAUGAGGUCUCGGGAGAAAGACACAUACCGGGCCUCCAGUCCAGGCAGCCAAGGGGGCUGGGCCUCCACUGUCAGGGGUGGAGCUGGGACCGGGCGAGGCGGAGCUGGGGAGCCGAGCCAAGCGGGUUUGUGUGCCUAUGGGAACCUUCCGGGUGGGGCUGCUGCGGACCUGGGACCGGGGCGGGAUAGGGUGAGGCUGGAGAUUGCUCGCGUGCUCCCGAUCCUUAUCUGCGCCGGUUGGGGUGUCCCGUGCUGGGCUUGGUAACCUUACGUUCUUUGCUCCUGCGCGCUAGGCUCAGGACUGCCUAGCAGUGCAGCACUACAGCUAUCUGGCUCUCCUGCUGUGUCGCUCUUAAAUGCGUGUCUGGAGUUCCUCUGGCGAAUGGUGGGCUGUUUGUCUCAUUUCCUCUGAUGAGAUACUUGAGGGAUCCUUGUUGAAAAAACAUCAGCAUCCCCCUUCUGACUGAGCAAAGAGGCAAAAACCAUGGAGUCUGACUGCAACAAACCAGGAAGACAAAUCUGAUUGGCUGCUGGCUUUUUGCUCACAACCACCUUUGGUGAAUUUUGUGAAACACAAUGUAUCAAAUUAUUUAAAAAAAUCCUUUCCCUUCUACACGCGUAACUGGUGUUUAAGGUUGAGUGUGUGUGUGUGUGUGUGUGUGUGUGUGUGUGUGUGUGUAUCUGUGGUGUUAGAGCUGGGAUGUGUGUCUGUGAGUCUGGUGUUUGAGAAGGGUUGCUGGGUUCCUGUGUGGUAUAGCUUAGGGCACAUUAGUAUUGAACUAAUGGGAAGACAACAUGACUUGUUUCUAACUCUUCAUUUAUACAUUAUUGAAUAUAACCUUUUUUUCUUAUCAGUUUUAACUGUUAAGGGAGACUAACAGAUAUAUCCCUCAGAGGGUGGAAGGGUGGGUUCUUAGUGUACUUUAACAUCUAAAGGUCCCUGUGGUAACUGGACUUCCCAGAUCUCCCCGCCCCCAAAAGCCCCUGACCUGAGUCACUUUUCCGGAGCAAGUCUCUUCCAGGGUAUUUCCUUGCAGGUGGCUGUUCCUAGGGAAGUCAUUUGUCCAGAUUCUUGGCUUUGAUUCCUCUCCAAGACAGAGUGGCACUCUAAGACCUCUGGCGUCAAGAUGGUCACGACCUGCGCACCCAGGAAGGAAGACGCUGGAGCCAGGGGGGAGAUAAACAGGGUUCUGGAAGGGCCUCCCGACUACAGUAGCGGAUCAGACUCAGGAUCACCCAGUGGUCUAACACAGGCUCAGGCUGGCUCUCUGGGCAUCUGGAAUUCUCCCGAUGAAAUCUGCAAGAAACUGCAGGAGGAAAGUUCGAAACUGCAGAGACCCCAGAGAUGGCACAGGAAGGAGCUGGGUCUGACUGAGGCUACUGCACACCUCAUGGUCACAUUCCAGCACGGUUUCUGGACUUGUGCACGGGUGGGGGUUGCCGGUAGUCCUUCUAUUUAGAGUCAGGACAGAAAGCUCUUCUGUGGCCCAGAAAUCUUUGAAACUGUAUUUGGAUCUCUCCCAGCUGGUGGCCACUGUGAAUUGUAAUUUGAAAGGAAUCAACCAGAAGCACUUUCUUUCCGUUGCUAGCUGGGGAACUACCCCAGGACCUGCGCAUUAUUCUCUGGAGAGCCCGAGUGGGGUUGCGAUGUUAUGCAAAUCGAGGAGUGCUGGUUCUUCUACAACAAAGUUCUUUCCCAGUGCUUUCAAAGAACUAAAGGGCUGGCAAGGUGGCUCAGCCGAUAAGAGCACUCUUCCGAAGGUCCUGAGUUCAAAUCCCAGCAACCACAUGGUGGCUCACAAACCACCCGUAAUGAGAUCUGACGCCCCUCCACAGUAACUUCGAUGAACAUUAGACCUGGUAGUAAUGGCAGCCGCGGACCACCGCGGAGAAUCAGUGUAGCUGUAAUGAGGGCGAGUUGAGAUACAGCUACUGUUGCAUGCCAUUACAAAUUCAAGAUCCCGAGAAAUGCAGAGGCUGUGAGCUGAAGCAGGAACGGAUCAAUAACCAGGUCUUUCUUUCUGAAUAGGGAAGGAGCCACUUAAAGUUAAAAGACACCAAGCGAAGAGGAAAUCGAAAUCAACAGAGUAAACUCGUAUGAAAUCUGGAACAUUCACCACACCAGGAUCUUAAAAUCUGGGGUUUUAAGGAUGCAUAGGAGCCAAGAUGUCAGAAUGUGACCAGAAGUUGGAAAAAAAAGAUGCCCACAUCAAAUAAGUACUGAAAAGAUGAGGAAAAAGAAGUUGAUUUCCAGGAAAGAAAAACGAAUAAUCUGGGGAGCUGAAGAGAUAACUUAUUGGUUAAGAGCGUGUGUUGCUUUUCUGGAGAACUCAGGUUUAAUCUCUAGCACCUACAUGGUAGCUCACAAGCAUCUAUAACUACAAUCCGAGAAUAUCUAAUUCCCUCUCCUAGCCUCUGCAGGCAAUGAAUGCACACGCCACCCAUUAAUGCAGGUAAAACACCCACACAAAAUGA